CCUCAGCGUAACGCACAGGAUGAGGGGUCCUCCAAGUUCCUGUCACUUGUUCAGUUGUUCCUUCAACUUCAGGUUUUUAAGCGCCUGGCAGUUCUUAUCUUCUGACAAGCAAACUACUGUACUACUGAAGCAUGAUCUUCAAUUCAGAUGUGAAAUUGCAGAUCAAGUUUGAGCCGGAGGUCCAGGCACUUUUUAGUGCAUCUGUCACCGUUACGGUGGGAAACGGCGAACGCACCUUGUUCUGGGCCGACAACUGGAUUGGGGGCACUUCCGUGGCUCAGAUUGCUCCCAAUCUGAUUGCGCUGAUCUCCAACCGUAACCGCGCGGCAGAGAACGGUAGCACAGGCCUUGACUAGACGGCGGUGGGUCAGGGACAUCAACGGCGGUCUGUCCAUCCCGGUUCUCAUGGAGUACAUCCGCCUAUGGAACCUGAUGGCAGAUGGUCAUCUUAGCGAGGUUGCGGAUUCCUUUCGGUGGCGGUGGACCACUAACGGCAAGUACACGGCGAUGUCGGCCUACGCGGCGUUGCACCAGGGGAGCGUGCGUUUUCAGGGAGCUGCGCGCAUUUGGAAGAAUUGGGCACCUCCCAAUGUGAAAUUCUUUGUCUGGCUAGCAGCACGACAGAGGAUCUGGACGGCGGAUCGAAGACGCCGGCACGGCCUGGACCCUCAUGACAUGUGCUGGUUCUGCGAUCAAGAGCCAGAGACCUGCGACCACAUUCUGGUUAACAGCACAUUUGCCAAGCAAGUCUGGUGGGAUGUGAUCUCGGCCUUGGGCCGUGUUUGGAUCCCAAAAUCAAAAUUCCAAAUUUUAUUUUCCGGCACCUGCAUGCAGACUUAA